GCGGUGAUGAUGUGGCAGUGAUGGUAGGUGAUGCAGAGUUCAAGUGACAAGCUGAUGAGGCUAUCUGAUCUGGGCUGUUGCUGGGGCCAAAUCCGUUGCUUGUAGGCUCACAACAAAGCUGGGUAAGCUUGUUGGGUGCGGAAGCUAAUCCAAACACUAGAUCCAUCGAGUUAAAGCUCUAGGGGCAUCAGACUGAAGUUCAGACAACGCAAAGAGAAAUCGG
rnacentral:misc_RNA from 1 species